GUUUGAACAAAUUCAUAUUUUUCCUGUAAAUCUCGUUGCAAGGUCGUGCUUCAAGAAAAUCAAAAUGAAUAAAUUUAUUUUGCUUGUUCUGGCAAUUUGCCUCAUCAGUGCUCACGCUUUCGUAAAGCGCGAAACCGAAGCGGUGACACCUAAAAACGACUGGCUGGAAGACAUACA